rnacentral:rRNA from 1 species
UCAUAUGCUUGUCUCAAAGAUUAAGCCAUGCAUGUCUCAGUACAGGCCAAAUUAAGGUGAAACCGCGAAAGGCUCAUUAAAUCAGUUAUGGUUCCUUAGAUCGUACCCACAAUUACUUGGAUAACUGUGGUAAUUCUAGAGCUAAUACAUGCAAACAGAGCUCCGACCGGAGACGGAAGGAGUGCUUUUAUUAGAUCAAAACCAAUCGGUGGCGGGUUCGCU